UACGGGGGGGGGCAAGCGUUGUUCGGAAUUACUGGGCGUAAAGGGCUCGUAGGUGGCCAACUAAGUCAGACGUGAAAUCCCUCGGCUUAACCGGGGAACUGCGUCUGAUACUGGAUGGCUUGAGUUUGGGAGAGGGACGCGGAAUUCCAGGUGUAGCGGUGAAAUGCGUAGAUAUCCGGAGGAACACCAGUGGCGAAGGCGACUUUCUGGCCUGUUCUUGACGCUGAGGCGCGAAAGCUAGGGGAGCAAACGGGG
rnacentral:rRNA from 1 species